UACGAAGGGGGCUAGCGUUGCUCGGAAUCACUGGGCGUAAAGCGCACGUAGGCGGCUUCUUAAGUCAGGGGUGAAAUCCUGGAGCUCAACUCCAGAACUGCCUUUGAUACUGAGGAGCUUGAGUCCGGGAGAGGUGAGUGGAACUGCGAGUGUAGAGGUGAAAUUCGUAGAUAUUCGCAAAGAACACCAGUGGCGAAGGCGGCUCACUGGCCCGGUACUGACGCUGAGGUGCGAAAGCGUGAGGAGCAAACAGG
rnacentral:rRNA from 1 species